UNCUUUGAUAGAAACUGUCUUUUACUUGG
rnacentral:piRNA from 1 species